CCACAUCUUCACCCUGUUCUCUCUGGAUCCCAGCAGGGAUCCCUGGGACAUGAGGCAGGUUUGCAUUGGUCUCAUCACUGCCUCCACAUAAUCUCCCCUACAAACGGGACAGCCUCUCCCACCUGGUGUUGUCUGCUUCACAGCAACUGAGGUCUUUGCUGCUUGGAAGAAGAAGCUGAGGAAGGCAGGGCAGUUUAGGGACAUGAAGGCAUUGAAAUCAGGCCUUGAAGGAAGAUAAGUAGGUGUGAUUUGUUAACCUAGUCCCAUCCCUUUCACAGACACAGAUGCCUUUGUGUGAACCUGAAUCAUAGAGUCUUUGAAUCUUUGAAUCUUUAAGAUCAUCUAGUCCAAUCAUGAAUGUAUCCAGCUCAAGCUGUCCUACAAGAAGCACAGCAUGCCAACAAAAUCAUCCAAACUCAAGAUCCAUCCUUUCACUAAGGGACCAGAAGAAACAAUGAGCAUGACAUCAGACGGGACACCUUUUUAGCCACCCCUACGUGCCAAGAGUGUGAAAGGAAGAGCCACAUUAUUCUCAAGUGGAGCUGGCAGCCUGUCUCCAGUGAGAGCUUUUGAUCCGUGGCUCCAUUGGGACUGAGCUAAAUUUUACCAUCAAA
rnacentral:lncRNA from 1 species